AAAAAAGCACACCAUGCCUCAAUCUUUAGUUCUCCAGCACCCGAACCACCCCCAUUUAACCCCGAACGUAUGGUGAGAUAUCAAAAGCUCAUUUUCCUAACGACGCAAGGCUACCACGUCGCACGUAACUGAGGCCAGGUGGAAAUUCUGAAUCAGUUGCUGUGUGACGCUUCCAGAACCGGACAGCUUGGCUGUCUCUGUCUGUGACUUGUUUCCUAAGUGCCGGAAUAGAAUUGAACAUACGCCGCUGCUGUGGUCGACUGUUGCUGACUCGCCCUUCUCCGUGGUAGUGACGUGAAAAAUAAUACCGUGUCAUCUGUGCUCCUCCCCAUUACCUGCCUCGCCCUGCAUCGCCAUCACGUCCAGCAAUCUAAACAAGAAGACCAAUUACUCCACUCUCACUAGUCCAAGCCAAAUUUUAAUUUGUCCAAUUCUGUAUUGCGAAUCGCAAGCCCAAUUGUUUAGCUGUUCUCGGCUAGGCUGUCUUCCGGUCGAUUGCAAGAGCAUUCCAUGAGGCAUUCUGUGAGGCCCAAAACCAAAUAGAUCUGACAACGUAUACUAUGCGAGUUUGAUAUUGGAUCUCUCUCGGUUAUGCUGUUUGCGAUGCUGAUUUUGUCAGUAUUGAAACUAUGCAGAUAAUUGCCUUUCAACAACAUUUAACAUAUUCAAAGACGAGGCCUAGUGCAAAGAUGUCGCUCUUGACAGAGUAUACCUCGGCAUUUUUGAUUGUCAUUACCAUCAACAUUUUUUCCCUCUCGUAUCGUGGCCUCAGUUCUUCGCCAGCUUCCCAGCGUUUCCGUUCCUACGACUCCAUUGUUUGUCGAAAAAUGUUUUCCCCCUUCCCCCCGUCGUCUUGGCCGGCGCCUCACACCGAAAUCAGGAUGUUUUCCGGUUUGAAUGUGUCGAUGAAUGACAUUCUUUGAAUGGCUUUGUUCGUGACCUAAAGCUAAUUUGAGGGGGAAAUGUUGAGAUCAUGUGCUAUGGGCGGUCCGUUGUAUCUUUUUGCGCCAUCCGGUUUCAGGACCAGCUUUUCCAACGAGGCGACACACAAUUCCAAUCCAAUGUAGUUACUGUAAAAACGGAGGACGGGGGAUGAAAUGAGAGCGUUUUGCUUGUGAAAACAAGACAAAAUAACUCGACAUGAAUUGUUCUCCCCUUUCACAGUAUAUAGAGAAGUUUGACAAUGUUUCGAUGGUCCUUCAACCUCUCCAUAACUUUUCUCUUCGUAUUCUUUGACUUUCUCUCGUGAAACUCUUUUGACUGCACAUUGGCGACCGUCCAACUCUCCUCGAUAAACGCCGGCAGAUUUCCCUAUUCCCAACAGUGCAGUGCGGUCGAACUGAAUUUCCUCCAAAGUAUUCAAACAGCACACAAACGAAAGGAAGUUUCGGAAUGUGUUUAAAUAGCUUAAGCCAUCAGUGUCCAGUUUUCAAAGAGUGCUGUUGCGUUUGCCUUCUUCCAGGCCCUAGCAAACGGCCAACGCUUUUAGUUGAUAAUUCUCGUGAUUACUAUUCUUUAAUAACUGUUUCUCCUCUCGGCUUGGUUUCCCUCAAGCUCCUUUCCUUUGAUAACGUUUCGCAUUUUAGCGCCAGAGGGAGCGGACCAUUUGCCAAACAGACAACUUUUUCUCCUCCUCCUUGUUCUUGUCGUAUGUAGACACGUGAAAUGAGAACAAAGAAGGCGGGGAAAACUAGAAAGGAGAAAGUGAGAAAACUUUCAGUGCCCCUAUGUCCCAAAGAGCCACUACUAAACAGCCCACUACAUUCCCUAAUAGUAAAAAAAAAAAAAAACGCCAUUGUCUUAUUUCGAAGGGCUCGGCUUGUUCCCGUCUAGUUGUCUUUCGAUACAAAAGCAUUUCGAAUUUCAGAUGACGUUGAAAAAUUGUUGAUGGGUUGUUCAUAUAAGAGUUUCAACACGGAGUAGUCAACCCAUUAAAUCUAUUGCUCUAUUUAUUUUUAUUUCUCUCUUUGGUGCUUUUGUAUUGUUUCAAAUUUCGCGUCUGGCAACGUAGUCGCUUGUUCGCGCCAUCCACCCCCCGCCCUGUUGUCCCUGGUGGGGGAUCGCAUUUACAAAAGUAUCUCAACGACAGUGAAUCAGUGAUGUUAUAGCUUGUGCCCAACGAAGAUGUUCAUCUGUCCUCUUUGCUAGCAUGUGAAAGCUUUUCUUAUUCUUUGAUGGAAUAGAAGCAGGUUAGAACUUUAUUUCACGCUACUAAUGUGUGCAUUUUCAAUGUUGCCCACCUUUUAUUUUGUUUGAUCGCCAAGUUACGAAAGAUGUACAAGUCGCACGGGGGUGAAUUGGUGGUUUGAACUGUACUGCCUCCUCCCCUCGAAUCCAAAUUUUAGUAGAGCAAGAAGCGCUAACUUUCCAGUUCUUUCUUUUCAAGUCUAUCCUAUUGAGGGACUAAUCCGUACUUUUUACCACUUUCCAUAACUAAUUGGAUCUAUCAGUUCAAAAUCAUUUUACAAUAGCUGUUUGUAUUAUUUCAUUUCCGUACUGUAUAGUCGUAUAUUAGACCAAAAAUGAGUCAAGGUUACUUACGUGAUGACGUGCAGAUUCCAUUGUCUUCAAUACGCUGGGCGAAUACUCGGAACUAACAAUAGGAGGGGUGUAACAAUUCGUUAUGAAAUUAUGAUUUCAAUUAAUACGAUUUCAUCUUAGCUUCAUGACAAUGCAUGGCAGUUGCCUCAUUGAUUAUUCUAGUCUUUGAACGUUUGUCAAAAAAUAUGCGUUGAUCUAUUUCUAGAAUUACCUACUCUGAAUUGUCUCAAGGUCGUUGAAUAAUUAAUACAAUCGGUUCAUUUAACAUCCAUUCAAUAUAUUCAGAUUGUGACCGCGCAACUUAAAUUUCAGCUUGAACACUUUUGCUAAAAAAUGAGGAGCGAUUUCCAUUCGUCGUUGCCCUCUGAAUGAAUAAAUUGCAUUAAAUUUCCUUUAAACGUGAGCUUUUUGAAUUAUUUUGGCCCUUGCCCUCCUUAAUUUGACUUUGACAAAUCUCAGUUCAAAUGAUGGCCAUGUGGCUAUGGCUGAAAUCUUCUCUCUUGUGUCUGCAUUUCUCGAUUAUUUUGGACGUUUAAUGUUUUCAAUUUGUCUUCAGUGGUAGAAAAAGCCACGAGUAACUGUCACCGUUUCAAAAAGACUUCUCUGGUCUUGUCAUAAUUACCCUAAUUAACAAUGCGCACCCCAUUACCAUGGUCUAUAAACUGGAGGUCUACGGACUGUCGUCUGCUCCAGAUUUUGUCUGCUAUUUUUUGAAACUAAAAUCCGGGCAUCCGGUAGAGGCGCUGACUGUCCGGAUCAGUCAUAACAAUUCAUUGUUAGGACAUGGUUAGGACCUGGUGCAUCAUUUGGAAAAGAUAUAAUGUGGCCGUCGUCCAGCGCAAGUUUCGCUUCGCUCGAAAAUUUGGUUUCGUCAAUGUCCGUGUAGCUGAUAGAUGGUUGCGUUGGGCCAGUGACCAGGGCCUUUCUUAAUCUCGUUGUUUACUUUGUCGUGUGGCUGAUUCGAGUGGUCGACAAUUU